GGAACAUUGGACAUGCUCUCCAUUCCACCAGCAACCAUGACAUCCUGCCCAAAGGAAACAAGAUAAAAUGAAUAAUCAUGGAUCAUGUUCUCCAUGACUUCUUGUAGGAACAGUAUUAGUAAAAGCUUAAGCAUGGGCACUUUAUACUUCUCAGAAGUCUUAGAGAAGGAGAUAAAAGGAACACCCUUUAUGCAUUUAAAAAGCAAACAGGAACAACUGAAGAUAGGUAAUCCAACCUGGCAGAAACAUGACAUGAAGUAAUAAAGGAAAAAAAAAGAA